ACGCUCGACACCUACGGGAGCAGCAGUGGGGAAUAUUGCACAAUGGGGGAAACCCUGAUGCAGCGAUGCCGCGUGAAGGAAGAAGUAUCUCGGUAUGUAAACUUCUAUCAGCAGGGAAGAAAAUGACGGUACCUGACUAAGAAGCCCCGGCUAACUACGUGCCAGNNGCGNGUAUCUGAGGCGGGCGUGGACGAAGGC
rnacentral:rRNA from 1 species